rnacentral:lncRNA from 1 species
CCCUGCUCCAGUGCCGGUCCCGAGUCCCGAGCCCGGGUGGCAGGGGCUGGUGGGCCGAGGCCCGAUUAAGCAGUCACCGGCCCCCUUCCAGCCCACCGUGGGUUCAUUUACUGCUUCCGACAUUUCCAGCUCGGCUUCACUGUCGCCCACUCGGUGGCCAGGCUCUGCCAGGCGAGGUGGCAUCUGAGCUGCAGAUACCUGGCACCGUGAAAUGGCUUUCUCCUCAGUGCCUCGCGCAGCUUCAGCCAAUGCAGGAGCCCUGAAUUGUACUGCUGUCUGAAAGGAGGGACAGACCACAUCCAAUGCAUCGACAAAAUUCUCCCAUAUGAUUUUAUUGAAUUUCUAGGAAGGUGGCAGACUAAAGUGAUUUUUAACACUUAUCAGUUGGAUUUAUGAUUUCAGUGUCAUCCACCCUGCUUCUGACAUUAGGAAAUGUUCAACAUGAGGGAAGCAUUCAAUGAUUUUUUUAACUACACUAUAAAACACUUUCGUCCCUUUCUUUCUGAAAUCCAUAAAUGGCUAAUUUAAUCACCUCGUCAGACCGUCGGAAUUCGGGAGUUUCAUCUGCUAAUUCUUUGGCACCGUUUGGAUGUUUUAAAUCAUUAUGAUAUAUUAUGUGAUGAGGACAGCUGACUUAAUAAUGGAUUAAAAAAAAAAAACCCUGGCCUUCCAGCUGUGGAUCUUCGCUUUCCUUUAUCUGGAGGGAAAAAAAUCUUUGAAUCCUGAAUCCAACAGCCAGUCUGGCAAAGACAACUAUACAAACUCUGGGUAUCUGGAACCUGGAGAGGAGCAGGGUUUGUACUUCAGGACUAGGAAAAUUAAGGACAUAAUGAUUGCAGAUAGAAACAUGCAAGCGUAAUUUCUCAUUGUUGGGAGAGAGAGGAGUUACCCUUUUGUGGGAAUACAGACUUUCAUCUCUCCAAUUCCUUUGGCUAUUAGAGAAGUCUGUCAUCGAUAACAAUCUUGCUUUGGCUUUGAGUUAGACUGGAGAAGACAAGCAAGGCUAAGCAUCUUUGGGAGUGCCCCAAACUUUUUGCCUUUUCCCAUUCAGUAGUCUAGUCAGUUGGCAUUUUUUAAAAGCCCCAUUUGGCUUUUUAAAGACCCCACGUGGGGAGGGCAAGGGAGGAGCUAGACUGGAGAGUACAAGAGGAAAUAAAUGGUUUCAUUCUCU